GACGAACGCUGGCGGCGUGCUUAACACAUGCAAGUCGAACGGAAAGGCCCUGCUUUUGUGGGGUGCUCGAGUGGCGAACGGGUGAGUAACACGUGAGUAACCUGCCCUUGACUUUGGGAUAACUUCAGGAAACUGGGGCUAAUACCGGAUAGGAGCUCCUGCUGCAGGGGGGGGGUUGGAAAGUUUCGGCGGUUGGGGAUGGACUCGCGGCUUAUCAGCUGGUUGGGGGGGGAGUGGCCUACCAAGGCGUUGACGGGUAGCCGGUCUGAGAGGGUGAUCGGUGCCACGGGAACUGAGCGACGGUCCCGGCGCCUACGGGAGGCAGCAGUGGGGAAUAUUGGACAAUGGGCGGAAGCGUUAUCCAGCCCUGCCGCGUGUGUGAAGAAGGUCUUCGGAUUGUAAAGCACUUUAAGUUGGGAGGAAGGGCAGUAAGUUAAUACCUCGCUGUUUUGACGGUACCAACAGAAUAAGCACCGGCUAACUUCGUG
rnacentral:rRNA from 1 species